rnacentral:lncRNA from 1 species
UUUUCUUCCUUCUGGAUGUUUCAUCUCACUUCCCUCUCUCUUCACUCUCACUCUUCGCUUUCUCACUGCAACCUCAAAACUCUCAAAUCACAAGCCAACCAUAACCAAACCCUCCUCAACUCUUCUUUCUUCUCACUUUUAUCUCUGUUACUCACUUAAUACAAAGUGGCAUACGACGACGAUUUCGGCAACGGCCGGCCUCGAGGUUUGCUCAAACGGUUGCUCUUCACAUCAAGUAGCUUCUAGACCUAUUGUAGGUAAACGUCUACUUCAAAUUUCUAGGUUUUUAGUAAUCUUUCAUGAUUUUGUAAAAAAAAUUUGUUUAAAAUUCUGGGUUUUGGAAAAUUCUUCAUUGAACUUUUUAUGUGAUUUCAGUAUUUCAUUUAAUUCCUUCCAUCUCAGAUUUCUUUAUGAUUUUAGAAAUUCUUAUAUUAAUUUUUUUUAUGAAGCAGAAAAAUCUGGAUUCCAUAUAUAGUUCCCAGAAAAAUAUAGGUUUAAAGCUACAUCUGGGUUCCAUGUACAGUUUGGGAUCCCUACAUGUAAUUUGCUAUCUAUUGCGGGUUUUGAUAAAACUGAGAAACAGGACAAAUCUCUUGGGAUUUUCCGGGUUCAAUCUGUGUGUAAUUUUCAGAAACAAAAAAUGGGAUUUCCAAAUUUUAAUCUUUUUUGGUAUUUUGGGUAUGCUCUGUUUGGAUGCUCAGAGAGAUGGGAUUUACUUUUGGAUAUGCUCUAUAAAAAAAGUACAAUUUACAUUUGGUUUUGGUUAUUUGCUGAUGGGAUGUUGUGAUGGGGUUUAGUAACUUUCAGUAUUCUUAAAUUCUUUUUAAUUUGCAAAAUUAAAUUGCCCAUCGAAUUAAAUUGAUAUUGCAUAUUGUCAUCAAGUUGACACUGACAACAAUGAAAUUACCAACUUAGAAUUAAGAGCUUUGUUAGUUUAUUCGAAUUUGAUGCUCCCUCAUAUGGUCAAGAAAUAUAUAUAGUUGUCUUAUAUUUUAUAAGAGAAAUUAAGUACAUUGGACAACAUCAUUCAUCCUCUAUGUUUAUUUUUAAUUGCUUUUCUUAAUCUAUUUUCCCGUCAUUUUUUUUCUACUAUGUAAUCUCAUUUGGUUUCGAUUUUCCUACAGUAUUCAUGUAAAAUAAAUACUUCAUCCGUAUACACUCUACAUCACUGCUCAGGUAUACAAUUCUUUUUUUUUUCUUGGUUAAUCAUUAUUUUCCUUUUACUCCAUUUUGAAUCUUUAGUUUGGAAGAAAGCUGAUAGACGUAAAUGGGUUUUAUUCUGGGUUUAAAAGGUCUGAUCUUUUUUAUUUUUUUAUUGCUAGAAAAAAAUAUGAUUUUUGGUUGAUUUGGUUGCAUAUUUGAAAGAGAGUGAGUGAAACACUAGAUUUUAAUUUAAUAAAUCAUACUACAUUCGCUAUUUACAUUUAUACCAAAAUUAUGAAUAGGAAUUUAAUCUUAUUUGAACGCAUCCCUGAGCAAUCUUACCUCAAGGCACAUCACCCAGGUAGGCCUGAUCAGCCAACUGCGUGUGCUCCAUCUUCUAAAAAGUUUGGUCAGUAUCUUAUGUCUUGGUUUGUGUUCAAGCUUGUGUUUCUUAGUUAAGUUUCAAUCAGUAUAUUGUCAUUCAUUUAUUUAAGAUGUGGUGGUAUUAAGAUGUGGUGGUACUGUUGAUGACAUGGCUAUAAAUCACAGGGUUUUUCAAUUUCUGGUAGAAAAAGAAAUUUAAGUUGAACAUAUUUUUUGUGUUUUGUUUUGUUGUUUGUGGUUUUGGAUGUGCUAUAUUGUUAUAGCUUAAGAAGAAAUUAAGAAAGUUUGGUCAUUUGCUUCUCGACUUAAAUUGGAUUGGUUUUUUUUUAAUUUAUAUUACAUGGUGUUUUUAAUGAUGUUGUUGCAGCUUUGAAAAAACAAAUUUGAGGUUUUUAUUUAGUGACACAAAUGAGUUUUUAUUUGGUUAAAGGAGGAAGGAAGAAUAGAGAGGGAGGUAAAUUGUGUCGGUAACUAGAGAUACUGGGUUCAGAAUUAUAUGAUUGGUUAUAGGGUGGAAAUCAAUUGAGUGUUGUUGUUUAUGUUUUGCUAAUUUUGUCAAGCUUGAAAAACAGAGAGGAAAUUAACCUUGAACAGCUCAAAGAAACAAAAUUGUAACAAAAACUUCCAGUGUUUAUUAAUGUGAGAAAAAUACAGCUUUCUCAGUUAUGCAAUGGUUUGAAUGCAAAAAAUAAAAUAAAAAAUAAAAAGAAAAAAGGUGUUUUGUGUAUCUGAUUUGUAACUACAUUUUUUAUUACAGAUUAUUGCCAAAGCAGUUUAUAUAAGCUACAAAGUGCUCUUGCUGAAAUAGAAAAAACAAUGGUGAGUCAGGCCACCAAGCAGUGACAAAUUUAGAAUUUACAAAUCUUCAUUAAUCAUAUUGAUAAUUAUUUACACACACACACAUAUAUAUGAUGCUAUUUGUAUGGUCCUUUAAAAUUUUCUGGCACAUAAAAGCAAGUUAAUUUUAUACUUUUCAUUUAUGUCAUUUUUGGUGUGUUUUAUUUUUGUGAAGCAAUAUAAAUUAAUUAGAUCAUAUCGUUAUAUCCUCCAUGAGCUGAUGUGCUUGAAGCUUUUAUUUUUUUCCUUUGUUUAUUUUUGUUAGAAAUUAGAAACAGAGGUGAAACCAUGUUUGAUGGUGGUUGUCCAUUUUUGUUACUUCACAUGUCAAUGAAUUUGUUGCUGAAUAAUAUUUAUGUUGGUUUUUCGUAGAGUUUGACAACGUGGAUUUUAACCUGGUUGUAUUUGUGUUGCAUGGCUGUACGCUAAAGGUUUAGCAUAAGUGAUUUAAACUACUGGAAUUGUUAAGUUCAAUUUUUUAGUAUUUGCUUUGGUCUUAUUUUUUACAACUUGAAUAAAGUUUCAUAUUUCCAUAAAGUGAUUCCAAUUAAUAGUUUCAUACAAAAUACUCACUCUAUGUUGCUAACUUUUCUUGCGCAACCAAUCACUCACAGCUCAUGCUAUUGAUAAUGUGAUUCGAAGAAUUCUCAGAGCUUGAUUCACCCAAUUUCUCCACCUCAUGUAAAAACUCUUUCCAACAGCUGAAGCAUUUAUAGGGUAAAUAACAUUAAUCUUCUGUAACAAUCUUUUAUUCCUUUGGAACAUAUUUUUUUCAUAUGCUUUUUAAUCCUACAGCAACACGCGGGUACUAUUUCUAGUAUAAACUAUACACACAUACAUAAUACACACAUAUACACACUACAUGAGCUCCAGAGAGCAUGCACUGCAUGCUGGCUCAUGUUGGAAAAUUAAAUAGAGCUUAGCUCCUGUUUAUAGGGACAUAAAGCCGGCAUAAUUAGUGUUUUAUGGCAGUUAAUAUGAGAUAAGAAUGCAUUUGAUGAAUGAUAUCUCCAAAUGGCUUCCAG